GAUGAACGCUGGCGGCGUGCUAACACAUGCAAGUCGAACGGGAAUACUUUAUUGAAACUUCGGUCGAUUUAAUUUAAUUCUAGUGGCGGACGGGUGAGUAACGCGUGGGUAACCUGCCUUAUACAGGGGGAUAACAGUCAGAAAUGGCUGCUAAUACCGCAUAAGCGCACAGAGCUGCAUGGCUCGGUGUGAAAAACUCCGGUGGUAUAAGAUGGACCCGCGUUGGAUUAGCUUGUUGGUGGGGUAACGGCCCACCAAGGCGACGAUCCAUAGCCGGCCUGAGAGGGUGAACGGCCACAUUGGGACUGAGACACGGCCCAGACUCCUACGGGAGGCAGCAGUGGGGAAUAUUGCACAAUGGGGGAAACCCUGAUGCAGCGACGCCGCGUGAAGGAAGAAGUAUCUCGGUAUGUAAACUUCUAUCAGCAGGGAAGAUAGUGACGGUACCUGACUAAGAAGCCCCGGCUAACUACGUGCCAGCAGCCGCGGUAAUACGUAGGGGGCAAGCGUUAUCCGGAUUUACUGGGUGUAAAGGGAGCGUAGACGGUGUGGCAAGUCUGAUGUGAAAGGCAUGG
rnacentral:rRNA from 1 species